UACGAAGGGGACUAGCGUUGUUCGGAUUUACUGGGCGUAAAGGGCGCGUAGGCGGUCGUGACAAGUCACUUGUGAAAUCUCCGGGCUUAACUCGGAACGGUCAAGUGAUACUGUCGGACUAGAGUACAGAAGGGGCAACUGGAAUUCUCGGUGUAGCGGUGAAAUGCGUAGAUAUCGAGAGGAACACCUGCGGCGAAGGCGGGUUGCUGGGCUGAUACUGACGCUGAGGCGCGAAAGCCAGGGGAGCGAACGGG
rnacentral:rRNA from 1 species